UAGGGAAUCUUCGGCAAUGGACGAAAGUCUGACCGAGCAACGCCGCGUGAGUGAAGAAGGUUUUCGGAUCGUAAAACUCUGUUGUUAGAGAAGAACAAGGACGUUAGUAACUGAACGUCCCCUGACGGUAUCUAACCAGAAAGCCACGGCUAACUACGUGCCAGCAGCCGCGGUAAUACGUAGGUGGCAAGCGUUGUCCGGAUUUAUUGGGCGUAAAGCGAGCGCAGGCGGUUUCUUAAGUCUGAUGUGAAAGCCCCCGGCUCAACCGGGGAGGGUCAUUGGAAACUGGGAGGCUUGAGUGCAGAAGAGGAGAGUGGAAUUCCAUGUGUAGCGGUGAAAUGCGUAGAUAUAUGGUGGAACACCAGUGGCGAAGGCGGCUCUCUGGUCUGUAACUGACGCUGAGGCUCGAAAGCGUGGGGAGCAAACAGG
rnacentral:rRNA from 1 species